rnacentral:rRNA from 1 species
CUCGCGGCCUAUCAGCUAGUUGGUGAGGUGAUGGCUCACCAAGGCGACGACGGGUAGCGGGUCUGAGAGGAUGGCCCGCCACAUUGGGAUUGAGACACGGCCCAGACUCCUACGGGAGGCAGCAGUGGGGAAUCUUGCGCAAUGGCCGAAAGGCUGACGCAGCGACGCCGCGUGCGGGAGGAAGCCCCUCGGGGUGUAAACCGCUGUCAGGGGGGACGAACCACCAUGGUGGGAAUACUGCCGUGGUCUGACG